rnacentral:lncRNA from 1 species
UGAUAAUUAAAAGGAGAUAACAAGAAUUUUCACUAAGAAGAAUGACUUGAGUGGUGAUAAAUUGGUACUGCCUUCUACAGUGUUAAUUUAAAUUUAAAUCUAUACCCACAAUAUUGGCCACCUCCUAGAGAAGUAAGGUAGCCUAGAAGAUUCUGUCAAGGAUGCUGCUUGUGGCCAAAUAAAUAUAUAAGUCAAUGCAUCUUUCUGAAAAUCAUGUUGUCUUUUUACCUCCACGUUUAUGACCUAACCCAGAUGCACAUGGAGACUCUUCUUCCUGAACUCCUUACGAGACAAGAAAGCAGCACUGGUAAAGCCUACAUUAAUUCUAGAGUGCUGAUUUCAUUCUUGUAUUCUCUUAAUAAAUCAUUGAUGAUGCAACACUUUCUCGGGAAUAUUAUUAGAACCAGUUUACCAUUAACAGCUUUCAAAGCACUGCAAGUGGAAAAAAGACUUCCUAUGAAUCUAAAGUGA